UUGAAAGGGAAACGAUUGAAGUCAGUCGUACCAGCGGAUAAUCAGCCUUUAGAUGCGAUUUUAUGGAGCGUGAGGAGCUAAUCGCCUUCAUGUCUGUAUAUUCGUGUACUUUGGGUGUACUUAUUCGUGUGGUAAGUUAACAUCAAUUUUGGUUGUCAUAAAAUGAUUGGAGGAAUGUAGCUUCGAUCUCGUAUUGAAGUGUUAUAGCCUUUGGUAGAUGUGAUGAUCGGGAUUGAGGAUUGCAACGGAUACCCUUCGGGGCUACCUGUCUGAUCUCUGAUUGUUGCUCUGGUGCUGAAAGCUCGCUUAUGGUUAUCAAAGUCGAUGGUCAAUAGGUUAGAAUGGGUUAAAUUCGUUAAGGAUGUUGACGUA
rnacentral:rRNA from 1 species